UUUCAACAUCAACCACCACUAAACAAACUACAACAACAGCCACGACAACCUUAGAUGUCCAAUCCAAGACAAGCCUGCCAACCAGCAAAGCAAAGAAAACCCAGACAGCGUUAAAUGUAAUGUCCACUUCUGAAACAACAACAUACAGUAAAACUGAUGUUUUGGUUAAUAAACAACAGAAACAGGGAAAUACAGAGGAAAAUGAGAAUGUUUAUCACCUGUACUGCACAAUCCCUGACUAACCAGUUCACUCAAACACAGAAGAUCACGUGUACAGUUUGGUGAAGAUGCACUGAUGAAUCUCUGGUUUCAUCAUGUACAGCCAUUCAAGUAUCUUUACUUGCACACAAAUAGGUGUUUAUUUACAUUAUUCAGUGUUUGGUAUGAACUAUACUGUGACCUCAGUGAAUAUCCAGAGCAUCUUCUCUGGCAAGCCUCACUAGAGCAAUACUUCAUUGUAAGAAGAGCUUGGGCAUUCAAUAAGAGCUGAACUAAAAAUCUAAC
ensembl:lncRNA